rnacentral:rRNA from 1 species
CACGUAGGGCGCAAGCGUUGUCCGGAAUUAUUGGGCGUAAAGAGCUCGUAGGCGGUCUGUUGCGUCCGCUGUGAAAACUCGGGGCUUAACCCCGAGCCUGCAGUGGAUACGGGCAGACUAGAGGUAGGUAGGGGAGAAUGGAAUUCCCGGUGUAGCGGUGAAAUGCGCUGAUAUCGGGAGGAACACCGGUGGCGAAGGCGGUUCUCUGGGCCUUACCUGACGCUGAGGCACGAAAGCUAGGGGAGCAAACAGG